rnacentral:lncRNA from 1 species
CAUAAUCCAGUUCUUGCCCAUGACACAGCCUUCACCUAUGCUCUGAAACUGCACCUCAGAUCUGAGAAAAAUGUGCCCGCCUGGUCCUUGACUUAGAUAUCACUAAAGAUCUGGCCAUCAGCCUCUUCCUGAUGCCAGACACAAGUCAGGUGAGUAACCUGCUUCUCCAGUUGGGCAGGACUUUGGGAUUCCCCUGGAUGAGACUCCUGGGUAGGAUAGAUCCCCUGAUAUUACUGUUGGAUCACACCGAAUGAGAUAACCAAAUUUUCCUUCUCAUGGUGCCACUUACAAAGGGCUUCUGAAUAAUUAUCUGUUUGAUCCUUACACCAACCCUAGGAGGUGAAGCUACUAAUGUUAUCCCCAAUUUAAAGAUGUGAAAACUGAGACUCACGGAAACUAGGUGACUUGUCUAGGGUCACACAGCCAGGAAACGUCAAGGUGAGAAUUUGAACCCUGGCCUUCUGAACUUGAGAUCCAGGGCCUGGCACAGAGUGGGCCCAGCAGACAUUUCUUCUUCCCAUCACACCUGCCAUGAGCUAAAGAAAAGUCAUCACUUCUGUCUUGUAGGACCGGCUCUUCAGGGAAGGACAUCCCCACAACCAGGACCCCUGGCAAAGAGGAAUUAAAGACCCAGUUGUGUUGUGAUGUUCAUUAUUCAGAUCUCGGAGCGCUCACGGAUCUCUUGGAUGUCCCCUGCCAGCUCAACUGAUGAGACUGCUACUUUAUGUACCACUGCUUGAAAAAGAAGGGAAUCUCCUAUUUCUCACACAGGAUAACAGUUGAGAGUCAUUGCCACAAUAAAACAGACAUGUUAGCGGUCAGGUUCAUAUAAGGACUAAGCGGCCCCAUGAAUCACAUAGGACUGGCUAAUCCUAGGACACUCCUCUCUGUGGUUUGCUAGGUAGCAGAGAGGGGAAGCUAAAUAGUAGUUUCUAAUAACAACUGGGAAGGCUUUUUCUUUUUAAAUAAAAAUGGAAUUGGCAUAAUUGGGAAUGAAGAUAAAGCUUGGAACCAAGUUAGAGAAGGCAAAGUGUACGUAGAAGAGCUGUUACAAAUAUAAAACUUGGCUGCGUUCUUUGUGAAGGCUCAAACUUGGGAAGGUUAAAUACCAUAAAUUUUUUCAUUUGUUCUGUAUUUUGAUCCUGAAAAGAAAGCUGGCUUUGCCCAUGUAUUACUUUAAAAACUUGGGGGAAAGGAGAAGAAAGGGACAAGUUUUUAAAAACUGUUUGAAAACAUUACAGCUGAAAGAAGCUACAUAGGAGCUGGGUAGAGAACCUAGUGACUAAGAGAAUGAGGAAUGCCGAGUACGCAUCCUGUGGGCGGGGCUCUACCCUUGCCGCUUUCAGAUUUAACUGCCUGAUCAAAUAGUUUUACAAGAAUAAACUCAGGAAACAGGUUGAGAAAUGAGCAGCUGAGACUGGAGUGUUCACUUUGCAAAGAACAUACUACGAAAAGAUCUGCACUCUAGGAGGUCUCAGCUGAUGAGGAAGAUGCUAGCACAGUGUCCUAUGGUCAGAAAAGAUGACCUGGCAAGAGGGGGAGUGGAGGAGAGGCAGGAAAGGGGAUCCCUUCAUGCUGAAAUCAAUGCAAUGAUGUCUGAUAUAUACAGAAAAACAGGUCUUGUAUAAAUAUGUCAUUAUAAGUGACAAGAUAAUAACAUUUUCUAGUGUAUGGAUUCUAUUUCUUUAUGUCAUUCUGGUCAACCAAAAACAAUCCUAUUUGGCAGAUUUCUGGCAUUUUGCCUCUUCCCCUAAUGACAGAUCUAAACACAUAUAUAAAAAUAGGUGGCCACAAAGAAAUAACUUCUGGCUUUAAAUGUCAUUUGGCUAGAAAUGUCUCAGGCAGCCUCUCCCAACUUUCCUGUGAUAUCUUUGAAAACAAAGAGAAAGACAAGAACUCAAAACAAGCACCAGAAACUUGACCCAAUCAAAGUCUUACCCAGAUUCUUGGAAGCAUUGUUCUUAAUUACAAGGCAAGAAACAUAGGAUUGAUACAAACCCAUCCAAAUUAUGCCUCAUGUAAUAGAAGUCAGUGGGAAGCCAGCUGCCCCUAUUUUCUUAGAGACACAGAGAUUCACGGUCUGUACCAACCAGAACACUAAGCGGGCACCCAUGUGCCAUGGAAGUCCUGCUUUUUGAGGAUGCCAGUACUACAUCUAUUUGGAGAUAGCACCUCCCAGGAAAUAACUGGCCAGGAAGUGUGUGUAUACGUGGGGGAGGGGUAGGAAGAAGGAGAACCAGCAAUUUGUACUGUAUCUUGGGAGGUGUAACUUUAACUUUACAAGCUAAACACUACAGGCAAGGGUGGAGACAGGAAGAUUCCUAAUAGCAGGACACUCUAUCAAUUGCAGUUUUGCAGGUGACUCUGUGGGUCACAAGAAUAGAGAACCAGAUGGGGAAUGUGCUACCUCAGUAGAAUGAAAAUGUUAUUUGGUGCAUGUCUGCUAGAAACUGAAAAUUGGUCUGGACUCAUGCAUGUCAACUUGUACUUCAGGUCUGAAAAGGGGAUGCAUAUGUAUAAAAUUCAACAGAAUGUACAAAUAAUUAAGAUUAAUAAGUGACCUGAGCAAGGAUGCAGAAUACAAGGUCAAUUAAUUUCUAUGUACUAGCAAUAAAUAAUUUUAAAUGAAGUAAAAAUACUAUAUACAACAUAAAAUCAUCAAAUAUUAAAGAAUAAAUACAAUAGAAUAUGUUUAAGAUCUCUACAUUGAAAACUAUAAAACACUGAAGGGAAAAUGUUUAAAAGACCAAAAUAAAUGGAGGAAUAUACCAUGUUUGUGGAUCAAAGCAUACAAUAUUGUUAAGACGUCAAUCCUCACUAAAUUCUAUUGUAAUCCCAAUCCAAAUCCCAAAUAUUCUUCUACAAUAUGGCUUUGCCACUGCCCCAUCAAUAGAAGUUUACUUUUUCUCUCUUUGAAUCUAGAUAGGCUUAUAUGCUUCAUGGCUUCCUCGGCAGGUGAUAAAUGGCAAUUCAGCUUCAACCUGGAUUACAGGAAUAGCCAUUGUUUUAGACUUCAACUGUCACGUAAGCAGUUCAGCUGAACUGAGGCACCAUGACGUGAGGAAGCCCAAAGUCAGCCUAUCUGGAGGGAUCACAUGGAGAGGUCCCAAGACUACACAAAAAGAAGAUGAUAUGAAUGCCUGGCCAGCCCCUAGCUGCUCUAGUUCCUUGCUGUUCCAGCUCCAGCCAUCAUCCAACUGCAACUGCAUGAGAGACCCCAGAAGCAUAGAGCUAAGCCCUUCCCAAAUUCCUUCCCACAGAAACCCUGAGAGAUAAUAAAUGACUGUUGUUGUUUUCAAUCACUGUUUUGAAAUUGGUUGUUAGGCAGCAAGAGAAGCCAGAACAGGGACCUUGGAAUACACAGAAUUUCUUAAUCAGGAUACAAAAAGA